rnacentral:tRNA from 1 species
UGCGGGCUGAUGUAACCGGCAGCAUGGCUGGCCCUGACCCAGUUCGUGGAGGUUCGAAUCCUCCGCCCGCAGC